UGAUAGCAUUAGCGCAGUAAAUGCAGCUCAAAGACAAACGGGAGAUUUUAGGGGAAGAGAUACGGAGUUUCAAGUGAAUACCGAAAUUUGGGAGUAAAUCUCACCCAACUUUCAGGUUUCAAACGACGAUUUCAACUUAGCUUCACAAUUUGGAAGGAAUUUUAAUUCCAUAUCCUAAUUGAUGGAAUAAACAAUUCAAGUGAGAUUCAUGUUUCGGAACCGUGCUAACACGAAGUCUGAAUUUUCAGAAACAAAGGCUAAAAUGAGUUUCCGAAAUCGCAACCAAGUCUCACGCGCAUUUCAAGCGACUUGGUUGCGAUUUCGGACAUCAAACUUUCAGGUUUCAAACGACGAUUUCAACUUAGCUUCACAAUUUGGAAGGAAUUUUAAUUCCAUAUCCUAAUUGAUGGAAUAAACAAUUCAAGUGAGAUUCAUGUUUCGGAACCGUGCUAACACAAAGUCUGAAUUUUCAGAAACAAAGGCUAAAAUGAGUUUCCGAAAUCGCAACCAAGUCUCACACGCAUUUCGAGC
rnacentral:lncRNA from 1 species